rnacentral:rRNA from 1 species
UACAGAGGUCCCAAGCGUUAAUCGGAAUUACUGGGCGUAAAGCGCGCGUAGGCGGCUUUGCAAGUCGGGUGUGAAAUCCCCAGGCUUAACCUGGGAACUGCAUUCGAGACUGCAUUGCUAGAGUAUGGGAGAGGGAAGUGGAAUUUCCGGUGUAGCGGUGAAAUGCGUAGAUAUCGGAAGGAACAUCAGUGGCGAAAGCGACUUCCUGGACCAAUACUGACGCUCAUGUGCGAAAGCGUGGGGAGCAAACAGG